rnacentral:rRNA from 1 species
GACGAACGCUGGCGGCGUGCCUAAUACAUGCAAGUAGAACGCUGAAGGAGGAGCUUGCUUCUCUGGAUGAGUUGCGAACGGGCGAGUAACGCGUAGGUAACCUGCCUGGUAGCGGGGGAUAACUAUUGGAAACGAUAGCUAAUACCGCAUAAGAGUAGAUGUUGCAUGACAUUUGCUUAAAAGGUGCAAUUGCAUCACUACCAGAUGGACCUGCGUUGUAUUAGCUAGUUGGUGGGGUAACGGCUCACCAAGGCGACGAUACAUAGCCGACCUGAGAGGGUGAUCGGCCACACUGGGACUGAGACACGGCCCAGACUCCUACGGGAGGCAGCAGUAGGGAAUCUUCGGCAAUGGACGGAAGUCUGACCGAGCAACGCCGCGUGAGUGAAGAAGGUUUUCGGAUCGUAAAGCUCUGUUGUAAGAGAAGAACGAGUGUGAGAGUGGAAAGUUCACAAUGUGACGGUAUCUUACCAGAAAGGGACGGCUAACUACGUG